GCCGGUUCUUCCUCUGGAAGGUCACCACAGCCCCCAGUCAAAGCUGCUGACUCCGGGACAGAACACGACUCCAGGACUUUUAACAUCCCAACCCUGAAAAAUCUUCUAACGCCCAAGGAGGCAGAGGUGGACGCAAAUGGCCACCCGUUUCUUAAGUGAAAGAGACAGAACUGUUCUGUAGAUGGGACUCACCUUCCCGCUCAGGCCAGCCACGCGAGACUCCAGCCCAGACGACCUGGCCGAGUUCUGAGACAGAUAUGGUGUGCCGAGGUUGCAGGGGAGACUUAUCAAAGCUCUGGGGAAUAGACUUUCAAAUGGGACAGGGAGGAGCUAGGGCUUUGGCGGGAAGAGAUGACUGUUCGAGUAUUUCGUCGGUUUGCUUUUCAUAGUAUAUUUCACUUUCAUAAAUAUUUAUUUUAUAAGUAAUUUCACUUUCAGGAGAAAUUUAAGAUAUAUUGAUUGGGAAGCUCUGUUCUAAUUGGAUUUUCCAGGUUAUUUUUGUAAAGUGUCAAAAGUACAUGUGGUUAUUUUGUUUAGCAACAUUAAUUAAAAGCACUGCAAAGUGCUUUUAAACAAAUUGCUUCUUCAAAUCCUUUUGGCAACAGGGCACCAAUGAAUAGAUAACUAAGAAUAACACUUCCGCAGGUGCACAGUUGGGAAAUAUCUGCCAUUCUAGACCAGGAAACCAAUCUUCUGUAACAACAAAUAUUUAGUUCACUAGACACAGGCAGCACCUACAUGCAUCCGGGAUAUUUUCCAUAGACAUCAAGCGGUGUACUCACGAUUACAACAUGAAUGUUUGUAUUACUUCAGCCAUAAAUGUAAGAUGAUUAUUUAGCCCCAAAUUAAAUAAACUAUUUCCAUA